AAAAAAGUGCGAGAGAGAGAGAGGGGGGGUGAGAGAAAGAAAAAAAAAACACGGCUCGCGAUAAGGAGCCGGCUCGUGUCGUUCACGUCAAAGAUCCGGCUCUAAGAGCCAUUUUGUUCGCAACCGCCACAUCACUAUUCCUCACAAAGCGAAGGUAUUUAACGGUGUGUCCAGACGGCAGUCGACGCUGGAUUGUACUCGGAACUCGGUGGAGAAGUACGGGACGGAGGAGUGGAGAGAAAGGAUUCACUGGUGUUUUCGGGAGGAGGAACUCACACGGAAGGAGUGCACACAGACUUCACGGGGAAACUCACCUUCACCACUUUUGGGAAUUGAGAGAAAGGACAUUGUUGGAUAUCACGUUGUUUAAAGACUGUAUUUCAAGUACUGUAAAUAAACGCACUGUCUGCUUCAA